rnacentral:misc_RNA from 1 species
GAAAUGCGAUAAGUAAUGUGAAUUGCAGAAUUCAGUGAAUCAUCGAAUCUGUGAACGCACAUUGCGCCCGCCAGUAUUCUGGCGGGCAUGCCUGUUCGAGCGUCAUUACAACCCUCAGGCCCCCGGGCCUGGCGUUGGGGAUCGGCGGAAGCCCCCUGCGGGCACAACGCCGUCCCCCAAAUACAGUGGCGGUCCCGCCGCAGCUUCCAUUGCGUAGUAGCUAACACCUCGCAACUGGAGAGCGGCGCGGCCACGCCGUAAAACACCCAACUUCUGAAUGUUGACCUCGAAUCAGGUAGGAAUACCCGCUGAACUUAAGC